UCCCCCACAUGGGUACUGAGACACGGACCAAACUCCUACGGGAGGCAGCAGUGAGGAAUAUUGGUCAAUGGGCGUAAGCCUGAACCAGCCAAGUCGCGUGAGGGAUGAAGGUUCUAUGGAUCGUAAACCUCUUUUAUAAGGGAAUAAAGUGCGGGACGUGUCCCGUUUUGUAUGUACCUUAUGAAUAAGGAUCGGCUAACUCCGUGCCAGCAGCCGCGGUAAUACGGAGGAUCCGAGCGUUAUCCGGAUUUAUUGGGUUUAAAGGGUGCGUAGGCGGCCUUUUAAGUCAGCGGUGAAAGUCUGUGGCUCAACCAUAGAAUUGCCGUUGAAACUGGGAGGCUUGAGUAUGUUUGAGGCAGGCGGAAUGCGUGGUGUAGCGGUGAAAUGCUUAGAUAUCACGCAGAACCCCGAUUGCGAAGGCAGCCUGCCAAGCCAUGACUGACGCUGAUGCACGAAAGCGUGGGGAUCAAACAGGAUUAGAUACCCUGGUAGUCCACGCAGUAAACGAUGAUCACUAGCUGUUUGCGAUACACAGUAA
rnacentral:rRNA from 1 species